GCCAGCCCGCCUGCCUCACCACAGCAUCCAUCCCAGCAGCUGCAGAAAUUAACCCCCCCACCCACCCCAGACAUCUGCUUUGAGAUCCAGAGGACAUGAUCUGCCAAGAAGAGUGCUGGCUGUGACUGAACCCGAAAACCUGUCAGAGGACUGACUGUCCCGAACACACACAGGAUCCCUCAGGAGUCAGUGAUGACGAGGAGGCCUACGGCUGCGGGAGCCUGAAAACAUCUGACGCCUGCUUUGAAACGAGGAUUUGAGUGUAGACAACAGGCAUGAACAUAUCAUACAUUACACAUGUUUUCCUCAAUCCUUCAUAUCAAACUAGAAAACUAAGUAGUGAUAUGUGGUUGAGGUACUUUAGAUACUACCAAUGCUUCAUAUUUAUUAGCUUAUCAUUUAUGUAUGUAUGUAAAAAACGUUAUCCGAAUAAGAAUG